rnacentral:rRNA from 1 species
GUUUGUUUGGAGUUAUAAAGAAUUUGACCUGCCCCCUGAUUAACAAUUAAAGGGCCGCAGUAUUAUAACUGUGCAAAGGUAGCAUAAUCAUUAGGUUUUUAAUUGGAAUCUUGCAUGAAUGGUUGGACAAGAGAAAGACUCUCUUUAUAUUAAAUUUUGAAUUUAACUUUUAAGUGAAAAGGCUUAAAUAUUCUAAAGGGACGAUAAGACCCUAUAAAACUUUACAUUGUGAUUAAUUUUAGUUGAAUUUGUAAAAUAAGAAUUUUAUUUGGUUAUUUGUUAUGUUGGGGAGACAUAAGUAAAAUAAUAUUUUAACUGCUUAAUAAUUAUACAAUUAUUAGUGAGUAAUAGAAGAUCCUUUUU